UUAAUGAGGCCCAACCUGUGCGUUAAUGAGGCCCAACCUGUGCGUUAAUGAGGCCCAACCUGUGCGUGAAGUUUACGCUGAUGCUGUGAGUAUAAAGCUAUGAACUUAACCGUUUAUCAUCAUUAUCAGAGAUGGUGUAAGUACAAAGCUAUGAACUUUUUCUUCUUUCCCUUUUUUUUUCAUUCUUCUUUCCCAUUUUUUCAUUCUUCUUUCCCAUUUUUUCAUUCUUCUUUCUCUUUUCUCGAUUCAUAGCUUUAUUCUCCUUGCUAUGAACUUAACCGUUUAUCAUCAUCAGUGAACUAAACCUGUGCGUUGAAGUGUACGUUUACAGUGGGCAGCUUACAAGAGUGAUGCAUGAAGUUCUAGACAAAGGAAGUGGAGAAAAAAGAGUCCAAGUUUGCUCAAAGAUGCAACUCAGCUGUUCAAUCUCAUUGUAUGUUAGCGUCAGUGAACCGAGAGUUUAUAAUAGACAUAUUUUGUCAAUUUAUCAUGAAAAAUCAUUGUAACAGUGGAUUGCCUGAUUUGUGGAAUUUAGCUAUGAAAUCUGUUGUGUAUUGAACCGUAUCGAGAAAAUUUCCCGGAUUUGUGGAGUUUAUAAUCGACACAACGCUAUUGUUUGCCAUGUUACUUGGAGGUCAUUUAUUCAAAUCCUACAAAUAAUCUCUUCACUUGUGAGAGUCACUGGCGUACCUCUAUCCUCCUCGGAUCCCACUGGCGUACUUCUAUCCUCUCUUGUUUCAAUUUGCCUCCUUAAUGGACAUCAUUUCGUAUCUUCUUUAUUUCCAACUAUAAACAUAUAUAGUAAGUAAGGAGAAAAACUCUUAUUUCUAUUUUAAGAAAACAGAUAUUUUUCAGUACCAUAGUUGAGCAACAUACUAUAUUUGACUGACAGUGCUACCGGGGAAAUAUGAGCAAGGAAGAGAAAAUUCUCAUGGAAAGUGAAGGAAAACAAUCCGAGUGAAUCAGAUGAUAAGCUUAACAGCAGCGAUUAAUGGACUUUAGUGUGAGACUAUUUGACUAACUCUUGACCUAUUGAUGAUAGCUUGAGUUCCUAACUAACUUCUCAUGGCAUGUACUUUACUAUCCACAUAUUUUACUCGUAACUUCUAAUUAUUACACUGUGGUAUAUCGAUAUUUCCGUAGGUACUAACAUGUAUUUGACGGAACUUUUAGGAAUGAUGCAUCGUCUUUUGUGAGGCCAAUUCAAUUAAGAAACAUUGUACUUUCUGCUUUUUGUCGAGAUUGACUAUUCUGGAUUCGAAGUCUUCAGAUCUAAAUAUGCUAUUACUGAUUGCAGACCCUUUUGUUUUACCUGUAAAAUUACAAGGCUUAAGCAGACUAAUGGUGAAAAACUGGAUGGACAUUGCACCCUGGGCAGAGCUAAGUGACAAGCACAAGCUAUAUAUCAAGGAAGAACAAGAACAUGAAAAGCUACAUUCGUGCAGGGGCAGCUUACAAGUUGUUAUAGCACAGUUGUUUCUGUAUGAAGUUCUAGGUGAAUUAGCAAUCUAUUAUCUUCUUCAGACAAAGGAAGUUGAGAAAAAAGAGCCAAAGUUUGCUCAAAAAGAUGCAACAGAGCUGUUCAAUCUCUUU
rnacentral:lncRNA from 1 species